GAGCUGAGUCACUGCUCACUUUAACCAACUUAUUCAUUGUGUUGGGUCUAAGAGAAGCUAUUAGAAAAGCCGGGAAUCCUGAAGAAGGCAAAACCAAUGAUGUCUCCGGAAUUAAAGAGGAAAAGAAGUCAUCUUUCUAGUUGAAAUGUACUUAUCAUCCUUUGUUGUUUGUUUAUAAUAGGUAAAGACAAAAUGUUGUAGAUAAAGAAAAAAUAUGGCAUGUACUUUUCAUCCUUUGUUGUUUGUAUGCAUCAGUAUAUCAUUGGUUCAAAGAAAAAUGUCUGUUUUUUCUUCGCCCAUCUGUUUUCGGUAGGUAGUUGCUGUUAUUGAUGUACUGGCCCGGACCCUCCGGUCAAGAUUGUAUCUUACCACAAGCAUAGUUGCAAGGAUCCCAUCUUGAUGCAUCUACAGAGAAUGAUUUGCAUAAAAUCGAUGGCAUGACGCAGACAUUGAAGACCUCGGAUAAUCACCAUCUUCUCAGGUUCUCGUGUUUUUGGUGAUGGUUCUAGUCUUCUUAAACUACUGUAUUUUACUUAGUUAAUUUGUUGGAAUUUUGUCGUUUGGUUCUGUUGAUGGCCUAUUGAAAUACAAUGCUUCGACAAAUUUCAUGUAAAUAGUGUGUUCCUGUUGAAAGGCUAAAAUAAUUUGGUCACGGAGAUUAAGAAAGAAAGGAAGACUUUUGAAACUUGUGGUCUAAAACGAGCCAUAGAUAUUUGUGUGGGGGUAAAUUGGACAUUUUAAAGUUAAAUUGCUAUUAAAUAUGAAAAGUUAUCUUUCUUUUUGGGACCGACUAAAAAUGAAGGGGUGUCACAUAAGUUGGGACGAAGGGAGUAAUAGUUUUACUUAUACGGUUAUACCUACACUACGUUAGUUGUUCUGAUUUUGUGGUUUCCCCAAUUGUUUUCGGUCUACUUAUGAUAGCAAGCAAAAAUGAAUCCAACUUAGCUUUCUGUAGUUUGAUAGAUUCAUGAAUGUUCAAUAGCCUUUUGAAAGAAUAUGUUUGGAUUUCACUCAGCAGCUAGAUGACAUAGUCUUGAUAGACGAGACGAGAGUCGGUGUUAUUGAGAGGUUAGAGGUAUGGAGANNNNN
rnacentral:lncRNA from 1 species